CAGUCCAAUAUAGAAUAAGUCAAUUGCUUUCUGUAAGAAGAAACUUUGAAUUUUUCUUAUAUAAACAAUAAUUUCAUCAUCUUAUUUUCUUUACUUCACCUGAAAAGCAAAAGAAAAAUUCUCAUCAGAGCAAAAAUUCUGGUAUUGUUAUUUUCUUACCUUUAUAUUUUGGGUUUGAGUAUCUUUUGUAUUUUCCGUAAAAAAACAACAGAAGUUCUGGCUAAUCCGUGGUGGACAGGACAUCAGGUAGGAUUACCUGGGGUGGUGGAUCAUCCCCACCACCCGUCAGGUAAUCCACCUGGUUUUAUGAACAAACGUCCCCACACCGAACUUUUCAUCAACGAAACCAAAAGAAGAGAAGAAGAAGAAGAAGACGAUGAAGAAAGAGACGACGAUGAACCAAAAGAAGGUGCAGUUGAAAUUGGAAACCGAAGACCAAGAGGAAGACCACCCGGUUCAAAAAACAAACCAAAACCACCAAUCUUCGUAACAAGAGACAGUCCAAAUUCACUGAAAAGCCAUGUGAUGGAAGUAUCCUCCGGAGCAGAUGUAGCCGAAAGUGUAGCCCAGUUUGCAAGAAGGCGACAACGCGGGGUUUGUGUUCUAAGCGGUAGUGGAUCAGUUGCAAAUGUUACCCUUAGACAACCUGCAGCACCAGGAGCUGUUGUAGCACUUCAUGGAAGGUUUGAUAUUCUAUCAUUAACCGGAGCUUUUCUACCAGGACCUGCUCCUCCAGGCGCAACCGGACUCACAGUGUACUUAGCCGGUGGACAAGGGCAAGUUGUUGGUGGAAGUGUUGUUGGACCUUUGAUUGCUGCUGGACCUGUUAUGGUUAUUGCUGCUACUUUUGCUAAUGCUACCUAUGAAAGAUUGCCACUUGAAGAAGAUGAGGAAGACGGUGGUGGUGGUGGGGUCCAUGGAGGACAUCAGGUUGCUGGUGGUGGUGGUAAUUCCUCUCCUCCUGGAAUUGGAAGUAGUGGCGGUGGCGGUGGCGGGGGCCACAUGCAGUCUAGCCAUCUUCCAGAUCCAUCUUCUAUGCCUUUGUAUAAUUUGCCACCAAAUCUUCUUCCUAAUGGUGGUCAUGUGGGACAUGAAGCUUUUCCAUGGCCUCAUGGAAUUAGGCCACCCUACUGAAAAAAUAUGAGAUGAUUACAAUUUAUAAGAAAUUGAAGAAAGGAGUUACCAAGUGUUUUUAGAGUAAUGGAAUAAAUAUAUAUGUAGUAUUAUAGUGUUUGUGAUGAAAAUGUGAUGAGAAUUGAGAAGUGAGAAGAGGAAGAAAUGUUAUUAUAUAUAAUUUUAUCACUCUCUAUGUAUGUGUAUAUGAUUAUUAAGUAAGAACUUUCUGUGUGUUUCCUUUUUAGUUGUGUUUUGGAAUAAAAAAGAUGAUGAUGGGUUUUUUUUGUUUUUUAAUUGAUUUCUGAUGAAUUGAUUAUCAUGUUUAUAUUCUCCAUGAUCAAGUAUUUUUUUACUCUUUGUUGCUUUGUUUUUUAAUUGUAUUAUUAUUUUAUUGAUGAAUUUGUUAGGGAUUGAAUACAUGCUGGAAUUAUUUUUCAUAAGACUUUGGAGAUAUGAAGUUUAAGCUUGUUUUGUUGGACUUGCUUAAAUAUAGUUUCUUCUAUCAAUCAUUACUAGCUUUUUUUUAUUUUUUAUUUUUUUUGAUGGAAAGGAAAAUGUAAUAGAAUAGAAAAGAUUCAUAAGUGAUUAGUUUCUCAUACAAUUUUCCCCAUAAAACUUAUCUAAGAAAUUUUAUUUUUAUAUUUUAAGGCAUUAGCAGAACUGAUUCUUAGGGUUUGUGAAUUUAAGCUUUGCUAGUGUGAAUGCAAAACAUGAUGAAAGCAAGUAGGGCUAUUUUGCUUUUUCUUAUUCUCUUCUUCUCUUUCUCUCUCUCACACACAGCUAUAUCUCUCUGCUUCUGUCUGCUCAUUAUAUUAUUUGAAUCCACCUUAGCAGCAGUUUACUGCUUAGUUAAUAAAAGUAUCUCUAAUAAAAAAUUGUUCAUGAAUAAAAUUAUAUUUUAUAUAUAAAAUAAACUCAUGUAAUUCUAGUUUACAAAUUUUGGUCUACUAUCUAUACUUAAAUGAAUCAAAUCUAAGGAUACUAGGGUUGUUUGCAACUAGUUAGAGAAAUUAAACCUCUUUCAUAUAGUUGCUUAGUAUAAAAUAUGUUCCACUUUCAAAGAGAAACUUGAAUUACAAUAUACUUUUCUCUUAUCUUAAAAUAUCCAUUCUACUCUAAAAAGUAAAAACAUUACAUUCAAUCUAUUAUAUCAUCUUUCUUGACUUAAAUUUUAGAGGGUGACAUAUUAUAAAGAACAACGGACAAGAAAUGACAAUUAUCGAGAUUUGAUUGCUAAACCGUUCACUCGUAAAACACUUAUGGAGUAAUCAAAUAUGUGAGUAAGCAAUCAUAUUUGAUGUCAUAAACACUUUUGGAUCUAUCACCUCAAUGUUAAAUCUACCAAAGAGAAUAAAAUUUUGUGGGAUGACAUGACACAUUUUCCCUAAGUUAAUCAAAGAGAAGAGAUACAUAGGAGUUAGAAAGAUGUUGUAGUGUAGGUUUAAACUUCAUUAACUCACUGCCAAAUAAGAACUUAUCAUUUUUUUUGGUGGUUGGGAUUCGAACCCCAGACCUUGCAUAUAUUAUACAUUGUCCAUACCAACUGAAUUAAGCUCACGGGGACAUAAGAAUUUUUUAUUUUUUUUUAUAACUAGAAGAACUUAUCAUUUGUUAUCCAACAAAAAGAGUUUAAGAAAUAUAUAAUAUUAUAGUAUACAAGUUGCUUAGUAAGAAAAAUAGUAGAAGAGACAAGAGACUAAACAAAGUAUCAAAUGUGGACCAACAAUUUUUAGUAAAAUCAUGUGUUUUGAACAUAGCGAAAGGGAGUGAUAUUUUACUCAAAACUGUGGAGAUCUGCAAAAUGUAUACCUUUUUUUUUUUUUUUUGACAAAAGGAUGCAAAAUAUAUACUUGAAACUGCAAAUCAUGUGGACCAACAAUUUUUAGUAAAAUCAAGUGUUAUGUCCAUAUUAGAUAUAACUGCAAAAUAUACUUGAAAAAUAACUAAAGAUAAUCAACUUUAGGUUUAUUUUUUUUUUGAAGCAAACUUUAGGUUUAUUUAAGAACAAAUAAUUAACUUUAAUUUGGGAUGGCCGUACAUAAAAUAAUAUUUUUUUUGUCUAACCGUACAUAAAAUAUUUUGAGUGAGCUCCCAAGAAAGUACAGCCUCAAGUUUUGAAAUAACCAACAUAAGGAAAAACAUACAGUCAAAUCUGGUUGGAGGAGACAAAAUGUGCUGACUUUAUUUAUGUUUAUGAGUAAGCAAUACUAAUCAUAAAUAAGGAAUAAUUACGUUGGAAAUUUGGAAUUAUGUACAUCAAAUCCAAUUUCGUGAUAAGACCAAAUGAAAUCAGAGCCAAUUUAAGUAGAAAUUUGACAAGUUAAAAUAGAAGUCAAUAAUCUAGUAAAAGGCAUGCUCAAAUAGUAGUCAAUUUGUUGGAACAAAGAGGCUAAAACGUUAGUCAAAAUGUAGAAAAGAUGAAGCUAAAACAUGAGUCAAUAUGUGAAAAUAUAUGAAUUAUUGUGAACAAAAGAUAAAAGAAAAAUUAUUGACUCAAACUCUACUUUGUAGGAUUAAAUUUUGAAAGGAUUUAUAGGAUUAAAUAUGUUUUUUUAAUAUAGGAUCAGAUAUGUUUUUACUUUUUUAUAAAAUUACGAAUCUUUUCAAUUGUAGUUUUUCUAUUAAUAUUUUUAACCAUUUUUAGUACCUAUAAAAAAAAAAAUGUUGUUUCUAGUUCAUACAAAGAGACAAAAAGUUGUGAAAGGUAGAGAUUGGAAUUGAUGAAAUUUUCAUAGAUGGAGGUUGAAUAGUUUAAUUGAUUUCAUCUAAAAGAUAAAAAAUUAGAUGUUAUGAAUUUCAACCCAAACAAAGGAGAAAAAAGAAAUCUAACAUCUAAUUAUUAACAUUUGUCGUUAAUGAAGGCAAAACAUUUAUAAACUAACUAAAAAUAUGGAUGGUUUAUAAGGAAGAAAAACUUUUUUUUAAGUGAGGGACGAAAAACAUAUUAAACAAAGUUAACCUGAGAUGACAUAGGGGAGAUCAUAAACAAAGUAAAUCACAUUUUCCUUUGAUAUAAAUGCAAAUUUCCCUAAACCCUAAAUACUUACUCUCUCCAGUCAAAUUCAUAAAAAAAAAACUUCUUAGGUUCAUUGAAAUAUAAUGUAUUUAGUCUAUAAUAUAUACUGAAUACAUUGAAUAUUUAAUGAUUCUUAAAUGUAGUUUUUUGCUUAUAAAUAUGAUUGGAUGAAGUACUCCCUCUGUUCCUUAAUGUAGCCAUCCAUUGUCUUUUUCACAUUUCUUAAGAAAAGUUGUCAGUGUAAUUAAUGUGUCUGUUUUGUGUGUUAAUAUUACGAAAUUGUCUUUUAUUUGUAUGUGUAUUAAAUUUGACUUUUCAUAUUUCAAGACAAGAUAGUGAUAUUAAUUAGGGUGUGUUUAGGAAAAUAAUAAUAAUAAAUGCAUCUAGUAAUUUGAAAAGAAAUUUAUAUUUAGGAACAAAAGUAAAAUCAAAUGGGUGUUUACAUAUAGGGUCAGAGGAAGUAUAAAAGAAUAAGAAAGCUAAGCUCAAGCGUUCAAAUGUAAUACCAUCAACAUCCAAUUUAACUUUUAUUAAGUAACCAGCCUAUAUUAAUUUAAAAUGAAAAUUAAAUCUGAGUUAAAUUUCUCUAAAAAUAAAAAGUACAUAUUUUAUUUAAGAAGAAUUAUAAAAAAGAUGAGUGAUAUCUAAACAACCAAAAUCAAACAACUUUAGUGAUAAUCUUUUUUCCUCUCUUCUUAUUGGACAAUAAUAAUAGAGAGAAAAAGAAAGAAAGAGGAUAAAAGUACAAUGAGAGUAUAAGAGAGAAAGUUGUCACAAAAGUUAUUUAAAAGUGAUUGUUCAAAUAUCAUUUCUCUAUAAAAAUAAAAAUAAAACAAAUAUUAAUUUGUGUUCUCAAAAGCACAUGUUAAGGAACUUAUUAUAAAAACAUACGUAUCAAAAGUCGUGUAGUCAACUUCUUAAUAGUUAAAUUAUCAUGUUUUCUAAUUUAAAGUUGCUCAAUUUGGAUUCCUUAACAUGUGCCCUUAUGACACAAGUUAAUAGUCCUUUCUAGAAACUCUAAAAUAUUCACUUUGUCGCAUGCACAUGACCCAAGUAUUGCACAAAUUAAAGUGUUACAAACCUUGCCGGGGCAUAUUACACACUUUCUUGUAUUUUCUAGUUGAAGCUGUUAAUGUUUGAACUUUGAAGUAUGGAAUGAAGUAUGGCUCUAUUCUUUCUACUUCGAUUUCAUCAAAUUUUGCAGACACUUUUGUCGUCCCAUCCACACCCACGUGUUAAUGUUAAGGAUAAAUCACUAGAUAGAUAUGGUCAAUGCCCACAGGAUUUCUUCUUUUGUAAAGUUUAUUUUAGUAAAAUGGAGGAUUUUCUGUUCAUGCCUAAAUGUAGAGUAAGAUUUAUGCAUAAAGGGAGAGUAAAGAUCAUAUGAGAGGGGUGAUGAUGUGAUAUUAGAUUAUUAAAAUAUCGCUGAUAAAUGGAGGUGUAUAUAAAAGGUGUAUAAAAAAGGAUGUUUAUAUAUAAUGACUAUUGUAUGUAAUAUGAGUGAUGUGUUUAGGACGAACAAAGGUUAAACACUCAACCAUAAAAAAUAAAAAAUAAAAAGAAAUGUCAACCAGUAUCAACAAAAGGCUAUCGGUCCAAACACAAAAAUGGUUUCAACUUCCACUCGUAAAGUAGACAGUAGUUCAAAGAAGUCUUACCCAAAAACCGCUUCCAAAAGAAAAAAAUUGAUUACAAAAACGCUUCCAAAAAUGCUUUAAUUGCUCAAUAUUUUUCAACUUGAGAAAAAAAAAUUGAUAUCACUACACCACUUUCAAUUGGACUACCCUACCGAAUGUCUUACCACAACAAAUCCAUUCAUACACCUAGACUCUACCCUCAAAGGUAGGGGUGUAACACUUCGGUUUGGAUUGGUUUUCAGUCAAAAAAAAGUCUGAAUCGAUGAAACCUUCAUCGGUUUGGAUUGGUUCGAUUUUCACUGUUUUUCAAAAAAGAAAUCGAACCAAAUUAAUCGGUUUAGUUCGAAUUGGAUUGGUUCAGUUGAUCGGUUUAAUUAAAAAUACAAUUAAAAAAAAUUCAUAUUCUGACAAAAUAUUUUACAGAACUUUGUAUAAUUUUAUUUCAUAUUUUUUUUUUUUCAUGUUCACUAUUUUUCAAACAACUUUUUAUAACUAACCUUACUCAAUAUUUCAUAUAUAUGAUCCAAGAUUCAUUCAUCCAUCAUUCUUCAAAAACAACUUCAUCAAACUCAAAUAUUUCAAUCAUUCAUGAUCCAUACAUGGAUCAUUGGGAUAGAAAAUGAACAUGGAAAACAAUGAAAUAUAAUGACUACAAAUCAAUGGCAUAAACAUGAUAAAACUAAC
rnacentral:lncRNA from 1 species